GGUAUAUUUACCUAUUGAAAUCACACCUUGCUUCGUUUGGGACUAUUGCAUGACAGGAAGGCUUGGUGGUGAGAGAACCAUUGCUUUCAUGUACAGUAAGACUUUACGGAAUCGAACAAGGUCUUUGGUGUGACUACUGGCGCUUUAACAGCUGAACUACCCGUUUUUCUGUUGACAUCUUUGAACAAAUGAGCCACAUGCCUCUCUGCCUUAAGGGUUCCAUGGCAACCAGUGUGCUUUGUUUUGUUGGGAUGUAAAUAAAGACACAUCUGCCCCAAAAUUACCUGAUUCCACAGAUAAUAUAGGGGUAGUCUGACGGGAAACAUGAAAUCCAUGCUUGUCGAAGGUGGGUGAAUUCUUCUGCAGCGUUACAUCGAGGCUUGUCUGUGUUAUAAUUGGAGGCAUUUAAACCUUGAAGUAUUGUCAACUUUAUUGCACACUUGACAAGGUCCAUGCACAUUGCGCUAUCGAUUGUAGAGAAUCUAAUAAAUGGCGUCAAAUAAUUUUGAGUACGAUGAACAUUCUGUCCCCGACCUCAGGCAUGCUGUGAAAACCGCCAUAUGUCUAGAGGAGCGUUUGGUUAAGUAUGCAGCGGCAUUUAAAUGCAGUCAUAAACGUGAAUUAAUGGCAAGUUGAAAACAAUGGGCGAGCACAACUACUAUUGUAACCCAGGUGUAUUUAGUGCAGGCAUCUUUGACACGACUCUAAUAAUAGCUCAAGUGACAAUACUUUCAACAUCACUUGAAUUAUCGCCUAAAUAUAAACAUGUGACCACGUGACAGUCGCACCUGGAUACUGCGACCGUUGUCUGUCACCGGUGGUGGCAUCCCGAUGCGUGUAUCAAUCCUCGUUAUAACGCAACGAAGCCACACCCAGACCUUUCCCCUUGUCCGAACUAGGAAUAGAGAUGGCGGGUUGGUGAGGACCCAUCCCUACACGCUUGUGGUGGAGGCACGACAUUGUUACAUGUCCCACAUGAUGAAGAGCGUUACAAGCCCCUGUGACGUCAUAUAGCUUCAACACAGAGCUCUGCAACCGAGUCACUAAUCUGUUCAAUCAAAACAAAGCAACGUGUAUGCUUGAGGCAAGCACACGUUUAAUUAUACAUGACAUUUGUUGUUUUCAAUUUCUUUUUAAUUUAAAGAAAGCAAACCAGACUCAGGGAAGCAUUUGCAUGACGUCACCAGCGUCUGAAGGAUGCAUUCCGCCUCUUACAAGAAGGGUUGAGGGAAGGGGGAUUUGGUAGACCGAGCUAAUUCGCUGCCAUCCUGCCUGACAGUGUUCAAGUCCUCCAUCCUCUAUUCCGAGCACUCUCCACAACUGUCAGCUCUUGCAAUGCCUAAAACAUCAAAUGCAAUGUUCUACGUCCGUAAUGAACACCAUGUCCAACUUGAAAUGUUUAUUAAAUGUAGUGUGUGUU